GCUGCAUGCAGGCACAUGCACAUUCUCUCCCGGGUGCCAUGCACUCUUUCCAAGGCAUUUUAAGGAGGUUUCCCACUUCCAGGCCCAUCGCUUAGUUCAUUGCUCUGCAAGAGUGAUCACUAUCCAGC
rnacentral:lncRNA from 11 species